rnacentral:rRNA from 1 species
AGUCACUGACAUUAGACUACCCCGUAGUCCAGCCGUAAACAAUGUGCGUUAGGUGUGUCGGUAACCACGCGUUACUGAUGCGCCGAAGAGAAAUCGUGAAACGCACCACCUGGGAAGUACGGUCGCAAGGCUGAAACUUAAAGGAAUUGGCGGGGAGCACCACAACAGGUGGAGCCUGCGGUUUAAUUGGAUUCAACGCCGGACAUCUCACCGGAUAAGACAGCUGAAUGAUUGUCAAUCUGAAGGUUUUACAUGACUAGCUG